GUCAGAGGGGAGCGGGAGUAGAAGUGACAGUUAAAUCAAAUGAAAUAGACCUUGAACUGUUAUCCUGGAUCGAGCUGUCUGACAGUUCUUUGUGUGGAGAUCUCAGAAAUGCAGUGGAACUACAUAACAUUUCGCGUCUCCUUAUGUUACGGGGUGAACACUGUUUUCAUUGGCACACAUUUGGAGGCCCGUUGAAGCGUGUGAUACAUCGUAUUCUGAGUGUGUCCCGCCACGUCUUCAAAGUCAAGCGCUGGAAAGAAGGUCAGGGUCUUGUAAGAUUCAACACAGAAAGCAUCAAG